AAUAGAUACCCAGGUAGUCCACGCCGUAAACGAUGGAUACUAGCUGUUGGGCGCAAGUUCAGUGGCUAAGCGAAAGUGAUAAGUAUCCCACCUGGGGAGUACGUUCGCAAGAAUGAAACUCAAAGGAAUUGACGGGGGCCCGCACAAGCGGUGGAGCAUGUGGUUUAAUUCGAUGAUACGCGAGGAACCUUACCAAGGCUUAAAUGUGGAUUGACCGGUUUGGAAACAGAUCUUUCGCAAGACAAUUUACAAGGUGCUGCAUGGUUGUCGUCAGCUCGUGCCGUGAGGUGUCAGGUUAAGUCCUAUAACGAGCGCAACCCCUGUUGUUAGUUGCCAGCGAGUCAAGUCGGGAACUCUAACAAGACUGCCAGUGCAAACUGUGAGGAAGGUGGGGAUGACGUCAAAUCAUCACGGCCCUUACGCCUUGGGCUACACACGUGCUACAAUGGCCGGUACAGAGAGCAGCCACUGGGUGACCAGGAGCGAAUCUAUAAAACCGGUCACAGUUCGGAUCGGAGUCUGCAACUCGAC
rnacentral:rRNA from 1 species